UUCUAGCCCCGAUUGAAGUGGAAAUCCUUUAUAUUUUUUCUUUAAAAAUAUAAAGAUUGUAACGAAAAGCGGGAAAUAGC
rnacentral:sRNA from 1 species